rnacentral:misc_RNA from 1 species
UGCAGUUAAACUUUAGUCAUGAGAGUUCAGGACACAUGAGGAAUUUGCUCUAACAACUUGUGUACAAUGAUUACCCAAUUAUCUUCCAGCACAUUCUAAUAAAUAGAUUUAUUCAUGCAGAAAAACUAAAGAAGAGAUAUGUUGACAUUAACGAAAUAAAUUAUUUACAUAAGAAAGAAAAAAUUUUUCAACGUCUACACAAUAUAACUAACAAGCAUAUCUUAAAUUAAGUAAUAAUCAGUCAUGUUUUUCACACGUCUCAACAUGACUCAGCCUAGAAAAAGACCAAUUGCUCAUCUAGGAACUAGGGCCUGAUCUGAUCCAUCCAUUCUCUAUGGGUUCCCAAGCAUUUGAUGCACACAAACACAAGUGGAAAAUAAAAUUCCAACAAUUAGCAUCUAUAGUACCUCAAAACCAUGAUUUUAAAAGCCACAAAUUUUCAAAAGCAUGUUCCUCAUAACAUAAUGGGG